AAUCCAUAGGUUAAUGAGGCGAACCGGGGGAACUGAAACAUCUAAGUACCCCGAGGAAAAGAAAUCAACCGAGAUUCCCCCAGUAGCGGCGAGCGAACGGGGAGGAGCCCAGAGCCUGAAUCAGCAUGUGUGUUAGUGGAAGCGUCUGGAAAGGCGCGCGAUACAGGGUGACAGCCCCGUACACAAAAGCGCAUGUGCUGUGAGCUCGAUGAGUAGGGCGGGACACGUGGUAUCCUGUCUGAAUAUGGGGGGACCAUCCUCCAAGGCUAAAUACUCCUGACUGACCGAUAGUGAACCAGUACCGUGAGGGAAAGGCGAAAAGAACCCCGGCGAGGGGAGUGAAAAAGAACCUGAAACCGUGUACGUACAAGCAGUGGGAGCCCCACCACCAAAGCAUUUGCUGUACCGCGUUGACGGAGCGAAGCGACGUCAAACCGAUAAAACAGCAGUGUAAAGUGAGCCGCAGGGCGCUUUGCGCGACAGCGCAAAGGCAGGCGGUUUCGCGUAGCGAAAGCGAAUGCUUUGGGGUGGGGUGACUGCGUACCUUUUGUAUAAUGGGUCAGCGACUUAUAUUCUGUA
rnacentral:rRNA from 1 species